rnacentral:rRNA from 1 species
UGGGGAAUAUUGGGCAAUGGGCGAAAGCCUGACCCAGCGACGCCGCGUGGGUGAUGAAGGCCUUCGGGUUGUAAAGCCCUUUCGUGCGGAAAGAACAGCCUCGUAGCUAAUAACUGCGAGGUUUGACGGUACCGCAGGAAGAAGUACCGGCUAACUCCGUGCCAGCAGCCGCGGUAAUACGGAGGGUGCAAGCGUUGUUCGGAAUUAUUGGGCGUAAAGGGCGCGUAGGCGGUUGUGUAAGUCAGAUGUGAAAUACUCCGGCUCAACCGGAGAACUGCAUUUGAAACUGUGCAGCUAGAGUACAGGAGAGGGAAAUGGAAUUCCCGGUGUAGAGGUGAAAUUCGUAGAUAUCGGGAGGAACACCAGUGGCGAAGGCGAUUUCCUGGCCUGAUACUGACGCUGAGGCGCGAAAGCGUGGGGAGCAAACA